ACAUUUGAGAUACUGCAGACACUUCAAGCCAGGCAGCAGCAGAAUACAUUAUGUUUAUACAUAUUUGCUGUUUAUUAAAAGGUGCUUCAGCAAACAGUGUAGCACUGAAUGCAGCCUGAAUUCAGGGAAUCUUCUCAAAAACAGUUCCCUGCUGCAGCACCUGUUCUCUUUUGAGUACUAUAGAUGUUGCUAGAUAGAGUGUGAAUUCUGCAAAAGGUAAAGAUUUCCAAGAAAGAAUGCCAAUAUACAAAACAGAAGAAAAAGUGAGAAGAAUUAAAUGAAGAAGCUUCAGGUUAAGGGCCCAUCAGAUGAGCAGGAUGGAUCUUUCUCAUGAAAACUAAACCAGCUUGUACAUAAUAGCUAGUACAGAACAUGUGCGUGUUUGAACAGAAGAGUGAGUCUAGGUGAGAGAGAAUUGACCGGGCACUCAAAUCAACAGUUCUUCUCCGAGCAGGAGCCUGAAGAGUGGGAGUGUAAGAUGAGAGGGCAUACUUCAGUGAAGAGCAGUGCCCUGGGAAAAGGGCAAGACGUAUGGACAGUAGUCUCUGCUUGAGGAACACUACUGCAACCUGCUGAGGAUCUGCUGGAAGAUUACUCCUAACAUGGAGGUAACCAGUGUCUCACAUCUGGCCAUCCACUAUCAUACCUCAGAUAUGGCAGCCCUCCCUGCUUGUUCUCGACAUAGACUUCCAUUUCUGUUAGUAGAAAACUUUCCACAACAUCAGUUGUGUGAUAACAUCAUUAUCUUUCACCAACAAUAAAAGGUUUGAUGAAGCUGUUAUAACAUAUAAGAAAUCUGCUGGUUGUUCCUCCACAUCUAAUUUAUUAUUAAUAUAUGAGGAAAUGAGUAACUACGUAUCUUGUCAAACCUGACUUUGUAAAAAAUAAAAAUAAAUUA